UUUGUACCUGCUAGCUCGAAACAAGCUUGAUUGUCGAAGUUGUCAGGAUUGGCGCAGGAUUACCAUAUUGUAGCAGCCAGAUAAUAUUCUUAUGAGAACCUGUGAUCUCCAGUCAUGGCUAGUCCAGAUGAUUUAACGUUUCAGGAGUUUGAGGAGGCCGCAGAUCUCCUGUCUUCAAAUCCUGGAGCCUCCACCCUCAGCAUCUCCAGCCCCGGCGCAGCAGUCUUCUCUGGAGAUGUCAAAGUUGAUCUGUCAGACGAUGAAGACCAUCAGCAAGAGAGUUCAGAGUUGCUUGGGGG